rnacentral:rRNA from 1 species
AUUGAACGCUGGCGGCAGGCUUAACACAUGCAAGUCGAACGCAUCCUUCGGGGUGAGUGGCAGACGGGUGAGUAACGCGUGGGAACGUGCCCUUCAGUUCGGGAUAACCCAGGGAAACUUGGGCUAAUACCGGAUACGUGCGAGAGCAGAAAGAUUUAUCGCUGAAGGAUCGGCCCGCGUCUGAUUAGCUAGUUGGUGGGGUAAUGGCCCACCAAGGCGACGAUCAGUAGCUGGUCUGAGAGGAUGAUCAGCCACAUUGGGACUGAGACACGGCCCAAACUCCUACGGGAGGCAGCAGUGGGGAAUAUUGGACAAUGGGCGCAAGCCUGAUCCAGCCAUGCCGCGUGAGUGAUGAAGGCCUUAGGGUUGUAAAGCUCUUUCGUCCGGGACGAUAAUGACGGUACCGGAAGAAGAAGCCCCGGCUAACUUCGUGCCAGCAGCCGCGGUAA